AUGAGGAGUUGGGGUUGGGCCGGUCUCAUAGAUGGCGCGGAGGCGCGGCCAAAUGUGCUCGUGUGCCCUCUGGAGCCCUCUCAAAGAAAGAGAUAGUUCUUGCAGCAAGAAAGUCAGCUUUAAGUUACAGCGCUCUGCUUUCUUGCCUUUCUACCAGUUCCCUUUGUGGCAGAGCAGCAACCAGGCCUCUUUCAAGGGAGUGUGCUAGAAGGGGAUAUUAGCCCCUCCUUUGCUAGCAGCAACAGGUACCAAACCCUUUCAGUACAUUUGAUCAGCUUCAUUCUUGCCCACCUUUACAGAUUCUAAGGCCCAUUGUCUACCUUUAACCAGCAAGCCAAAUGACACUGGCCUGUAAUAUUUAAUUCAGCACAGGCAGGGGGAAGGGCCCAUGAAAUCUCUGCCCUGAGGAACUGUGAGCCCCACCCUUAAAUGUCCCAAUCAGACUAGAAAAGCCACAAAUACCUUUUAAAUCUACCCCAGAAUUCCAAAAUCCCAACCCAGCACAGAAUAUCACAUAGCAAAUCAAAGUUCCCAGCAAACAAACAGACAGAGAUACAUACAAACAUCAAAUAAACAUUUACAUUUACACCCUUUCAGUGAACAAGUACUUUUACAGUCUUGGGAUCUUGAGCAGAUAACAGGAACACCGCCCAAGUCCCCUGAUGGGGGCCUGACAGGAACAGAUGUGGGGGCCUCCCUUUCCCACAUCCCAGGACAGGAUUCUUGACCUAUGUCUCAUCCAGAUAGAAACGGUACUCAUCACAAACAAACAAA